rnacentral:rRNA from 1 species
UGCCAGCCGCCGCGGUAAUACGGAGGGAUCGAACGUUAAUCGGAAUUACUGGGCGUAAAGCGCGCGUAGGCGGUUUGAUAAGUGGGAUGUGAAAGCCCCGGGCUUAACCUGGGAACUGCAUUCCAAACUGUCAAACUAGAGUAUGGUAGAGGGUGGUAGAAUUUCCUGUGUAGCGGUGAAAUGCGUAGAUAUAGGAAGGAAUACCGAUGGCGAAGGCAGCCACCUGGACCAAUACUGACGCUGAGGUGCGAAAGCGUGGGGAGCAAACAGGAUUAGAUA